AGAAUCAACGCUGGCGGCGUGCCUAACACAUGCAAGUCGAACGAGAAAGGGGAGCAAUCCCUGAGUAAAGUGGCGACCGGGUGAGUAACACGUGACUAACCUACCUUCGAGUGGGGGGAUAACCUCGGGAAACCGAGGCUAAUACCGCAUAACAUCGUGAGAUCAAAGCAGUAAUGCGCUGGAAGAGGGGGUCGCGGCUGAUUAGCUAGUUGGCGGGGUAAUGGCCCACCAAGGCGAAGAUCGGUAGCCGGCCUGAGAGGGCGCACGGCCACACUGGAACUGAAACACGGUCCAGACUCCUACGGGAGGCAGCAGUGGGGAAUUUUGCGCAAUGGGGGAAACCCUGACGCAGCAACGCCGCGUGGAGGAUGAAGUCCCUUGGGACGUAAACUCCUUUCGACCAAGACGAUAAUGACGGUACUGGUGGAAGAAGCACCGGCUAACUCUGCGCCAGCAGCCGC
rnacentral:rRNA from 1 species